rnacentral:rRNA from 1 species
AGAGUUUGAUCAUGGCUCAGAAUCAACGCUGGCGGCGCGCCUAACACAUGCAAGUCGAACGAGAAAGUGGAGCAAUCCAUGAGUACAGUGGCGUACGGGUGAGUAACACGUGGGUUAUCUACCUCUUAGUGGGGAAUAACUCUGGGAAACCGGAGAUAAUACCGCAUAAUCUCGAGAGAGGAAAGCAGCAAUGCGCUGAG